rnacentral:rRNA from 1 species
CGUGAAUUUGGGAAAGAGAAGCGCUUGCAACCAGACUUGUUGCAGCAUUCAGCCUCUCGAAAGAGCGGUGCAUUUGCUGUAGUGCAGGCCAACAUCGGUUUAGGUGGUUGGACAAAAACUCGAGGAAGGUAGCUUUUAUACGGAAAAGUGUUAUAGCCUCUUGUGUAAUACAACCUAUCUGGACCGAGGACUGCGCUUUCUGCGAGGAUAUUGGCGUAAUGGUUGUCAGCGACCUGUCUUGAAACACGGACCAAGGAGUUGACCAAUUGAGCGAGGAUUAGGGUGUAAAACCCUUGUCCGUAAUGAAAGUGAACGUAGGUGGGAGUCUUUGGACGCACCAUCGACCGAUCCGAGUUCGCGAGGAUUUGAGUAAGAGUUUAAUUGGUCAGACCCGAAAGGCAAGUUUAUAUUUUAUAAAUUCCUACUUUUGUAAUCAUAGUUAGCUAUUUUUUAGAAGGUGAACUAUUCCUGAAUAGGGUGAAGUCAGAGGAAACUCUGAGGGAGGCUCGCAGCGUUUCUGACGUGCAAAUCGAUCGUCAAAGCUGGGAAUAGGGGCGAAAGACUAAUCGACCCUUAUAGUAGCUGGUUCCUGUCGAAGUUUCCCUCAGGAUAGCAGCAACGAUUAACAGUCUCAUGAGGUAGAGCAACGAUUAGAGGCCUUGGGGUUGAAACAUCCUUAACCUAUUCUCGAACUCCGAAUAUGUGAGAAGUCCUUGUUACUCCAUGAACGUGGACAUUGAAGAAGUUUUUGCCCC